GGAUCUGUAGCGCAGCUGGUUAGCGCGCCUCAUUCACAUUGAGGAGGUCACUGGUUCGAAUCCAGUCAGAUCCACCA
rnacentral:tRNA from 1 species